GACGAACGCUGGCGGCGUGCUUAACACAUGCAAGUCGAACGGAAAGGCCCUGCUUGCCGGGUACUCGAGUGGCGAACGGGUGAGUAACACGUGGGUGAUCUGCCCUGCACUUCGGGAUAAGCCUGGGAAACUGGGUCUAAUACCGGAUUGGAGCCAUUUUUAGUGUGAUGGUUGGAAAGUUUUUUCGGUGUAGGAUGAGCUCGCGGCCUAUCAGCUUGUUGGUGGGGUAAUGGCCUACCAAGGCGGCGACGGGUAGCCGGCCUGAGAGGGUGGACGGCCACAUUGGGACUGAGAUACGGCCCAGACUCCUACGGGAGGCAGCAGUGGGGAAUAUUGCACAAUGGGCGCAAGCCUGAUGCAGCGACGCCGCGUGGGGGAUGACGGCCUUCGGGUUGUAAACUCCUUUCGCUAGGGACGAAGCUUUUUGUGACGGUACCUAGAUAAGAAGCACCGGCUAACUACGUG
rnacentral:rRNA from 1 species